rnacentral:rRNA from 1 species
AGAGUUUGAUCAUGGCUCAGAACGAACGCUGGCGGCGUGGAUAAGACAUGCAAGUCGAACGCUAAUUUCAGGGUAGCAAUAUUCUGAGGUUGGAGUGGCGCAAGGGUGCGUAACACGUGGGUAAUUUGCCGUGAAGUUGGGGAUAACUCGCUGAAAGGCGAGCUAAUACCGGAUGUGAAAAUUAGGAGGCAUCUUCUGAUUUUUAAAGUUGGGGACCGUAAGGCCUGACGCUUCACGAUAAGCCCGCGGCCUAUCAGCUAGUUGGUGAGGUAACGGCUCACCAAGGCUAAGACGGGUAGCUGGUCUGAGAGGACGACCAGUCACACUGGAACUGAGACACGGUCCAGACACCUACGGGUGGCAGCAGUCGAGAAUUUUUCUCAAUGGGCGAAAGCCUGAAGGAGCGACGCCGCGUGGGGGAUGAAGGGCUUCGGCUCGUAAACCCCUGUCAUUUGCGAACAAACCUUACGAUUGAACAGAUCGUGAGCUGAUUGUAGCGAAAGAGGAAGGGACGGCUAACUCUGUGCCAGCAGCCGCGGUAAUACAGAGGUCCCAAGCGUUGUUCGGAUUCACUGGGCGUAAAGGGUGCGUAGGUGGUGAGGUAAGUUUGAUGUGAAAUCUCCGGGCUUAACCCGGAAACUGCAUUGAAUACUAUUUCGCUAGAGGAUUGGAGGGGAGACUGGAAUACUUGGUGUAGCAGUGAAAUGCGUAGAUAUCAAGUGGAACACCAGUGGCGAAGGCGAGUCUCUGGACAAUUCCUGACACUGAGGCACGAAAGCUAGGGGAGCAAACAGGAUUAGAUACCCCGGUAGUCC